UUGAAGCAGAGGACAGUGGCGGACGGGUGAGUAACGCGUGAGGAACCUGCCUUUCAGAGGGGGACAACAGUUGGAAACGACUGCUAAUACCGCAUGACACAUAGGCGUCGCAUGGCACUUAUGUCAAAGAUUUAUCGCUGAAAGAUGGCCUCGCGUCUGAUUAGCUAGUUGGUGAGGUAACGGCUCACCAAGGCGACGAUCAGUAGCCGACCUGAGAGGUUGAACGGCCACAUUGGGACUGAGACACGGCCCAGACUCC
rnacentral:rRNA from 1 species